rnacentral:misc_RNA from 1 species
GAUGAAGAACGCAGCUAAAUGCGAUAACUAAUGUGAAUUGCAGAAUUCCGUGAAUCAUCGAGUCUUUGAACGCACAUUGCGCCCCCUGGUAUUCCGGGGGGCAUGCCUGUCCGAGCGUCAUUGCUGCCCAUCAAGCACGGCUUGUGUGUUGGGUCCUCGUCCCCCCCGGGGGACGUGCCCGAAAGGCAGCGGCGGCACCGCGUCCGGUCCUCGAGCGUAUGGGGCUUUGUCACCCGCUCUGCAGGCCCGGCCGGCGCUGGCCGACGCGAAAGCAACCAUUUUUUCUCCAGGUUGACCUCGGAUCAGGUAGGGAUACCCGCUGAACUUAAGCAUAUCAAUAAGCGGAGGA